UACGUAGGGUGCAAGCGUUGUCCGGAAUUAUUGGGCGUAAAGAGCUCGUAGGCGGUCAGUCGCGUCUGCUGUGAAAACUCGGGGCUUAACUCCGGGCCUGCAGUGGGUACGGGCUGACUAGAGUGCGGUAGGGGAGACUGGAAUUCCUGGUGUAGCGGUGAAAUGCGCAGAUAUCAGGAGGAACACCGGUGGCGAAGGCGGGUCUCUGGGCAACAACUGACGCUGAGGAGCGAAAGCGUGGGGAGCGAACAGG
rnacentral:rRNA from 1 species